UCCUCGUGUCACCAGUUCAAAUCUGGUUCCUGGCA
rnacentral:tRNA from 6 species